UCUCCUUACAUUCGUUUUGUAACAGACGCUCUUAAUUACCAUACUUGUUUUCUCUUCAAUCCUCUAUGUUUUAUUACUCAUUAUUUUUUCCCAAUGGCCACAGAGGAAUUGUUUCUCUCAAUUCUCAAGGCAUGUUGUGUUGACGCCUAUGAAGUGUUCGACAAAAAGCUCUAUAGAGAGGUACAAUUUCCACGGCUGCUGGACAAACCACUCAACAGAUGCAGCUGCUGGUAUUAAUUAUAUCAUGAAAGGACUACUUCCAGAAAUGAUUCAGGUUAAAGAGAAAGCACAUAGCAAACCUGUGGUCUAUCAGCUACAAAAUAAUGAACGCAAGCACAGUCCUAUCGAACACACUGGUGAACUGAUGGACUCUGAUUACAAUGCUUUGGAGAAAAUAAAAUAUUGCCGGUGACAUAGAGAAAAAGCGUUGUAGAUGAGGAGCAAUAACAGAGAUGUCAACCCACUAUAAUUGCACACCACGAUGCGGCAAUAUCAAUCUAACUGGGACAACAAAUUUGUGAUGCAGUUAAAAUUGAGAGAAUGAAGCUUGUGAAAAGAACACUUAAUGACGUGAUGAUAUAAACUACAUGCACUUACUCUUGCAAAAAAUUUAGUUUCAAUAUUUGGCAAAUUUAAAUCAAUAACUUGCUUUUCCUAUAAAUUUGGAGAGGCCUUCUUAUCUUUUAUCAUACAGGAUUUGACCAUACUUGUCUUUCCCUUCUUCCUCUAUUUUUAGUACUCUUCUUUUUUUUAAAAAAAAAAUCACCAAAGAGAAGUUGUUUCUCUCAUUCUCAAGGUAAAUCUUAUCUUUGUGAUUUUGGAACAUAGUUAUUCUCUUUCAUAUUUAGUUUGUUUUCUC